UACGGGGGGGGCAAGCGUUGUUCGGAAUUACUGGGCGUAAAGGGCUCGUAGGCGGCCAACUAAGUCAUACGUGAAAUCCCUCGGCUUAACCGGGGAACUGCGUCUGAUACUGGAUGGCUUGAGUUCGGGAGAGGGAUGCGGAAUUCCUGGUGUAGCGGUGAAAUGCGCAGAUAUCAGGAGGAACACCAAUUGCGAAGGCAGCUCGCUGGGACGUUACUGACGCUGAUGCGCGAAAGCGUGGGGAGCAAACAGG
rnacentral:rRNA from 1 species